rnacentral:tRNA from 1 species
GGACCCAUAGGUUAACUGGUAAACCAGAUGGCUUUUAACCAUCUGUUCCCGAUUCGAGUUCGGGUGGGUCCA